UAGGAGGGUCGGUAAAGCUCAGGAGGGAUAGCGCCAUUGAUAAAUGUGUGUACGUGGUAUUUGGCGCUAUCCAUCCUGAGUUUCACCGGUUCUUCUU
rnacentral:pre_miRNA from 2 species